rnacentral:lncRNA from 1 species
AAGAGUCUACCUCUGUUAGGGACUGUGUGGGGUGUAGCAGAAAGGAUGCAGACUACUGGCUCUCAGAGGAUUGCUACCUGGUGAGAGUGGACACACAAGAGAGCCUGAGAGCUUUAACUGAGAGUUGAAGUUAUUCUGGAGGAGGAAGAAGGUGGUGUGACCAACCCAUGAGGGUUUGCAUCGGGGGACAAAUGUUGAGUGCAGCAUUUGAAUGGCACGCCGUCUUCUCCAGACAGUGGUCAUGAAUUAAAAUGGAUAUCCAACUGUUCCAUGAGGCAACGAAUGGGGAUUUUACAUAUUAAAUCAGCAUUGUCUGCUGGAGCUCUCUGCUACCUGGGAAGGCUCUGCAUUUGGGCUGUCAAAGCCACAAGCUCAGACAAUGAAGAUGGCAAACUGAAGGUGAACACUUCUUUCAAGUCAGUCACAAGAGGCUUAUGUGUUGGACUGUGUCUAUGGAUAUCCUAUUGCAGAACAUGGCGUUAGAUUAGUGAGAGCAGGUACAGAUGUUAAAAGAAAUGGGGAGCCUAAAUCAGACUUUUCUUGGAUAAAACAGGGGUGAAGGGAAGCCCCAAGGGACUUUAUAGAGAAGGAAGUUUGAAGAGAAAAGAACAUGGCAAGGUGGACUGGCCAGUUCCUUAACAGAAUUGAUGAAACAAGUGAAUUGCUUUGCGUGCACAGAAGUCCAGGUGGGGUUGUAUGCACAGAUGGGUAACACAUGUGCCCCUUCACUGACAACAGGCUCUGUUGUGAGCACCCUGUCCUGAGCUGGACAUGAACCUACUACUCCUACCCUACGAAAUAUUGAAGCUCUGGGAAACAGCCCUGCAGGGUGUCCCUUAGUUACCCUUGGGAUGCGUGGCUGAAUGGGAGUUAUAGCUUACAUGCUAGCCCAUGAAAACAUCAAUAUUCACAACUCAAAACUGCGAAUAAGAUAGUUGGUUCGGGAGCCAUUUUAAAAGACAAUGGCCUGAGAAGACAAAUUUAGGUUACCCUAAUUCUAUGUUCCAAUGUGGAAGCAGCUUCACAGAAUUUUUAGAAUUUUAUAGAACCAAGCAAGUCAUAGGCCGAGGCAAGUUUAAAAUGCCUUGUUGGGUACACCAGAAAAGUGAGUGCAGAGAAAUGGGGGCUAUUCUAUAGGUCGAAUGUGUUAUCUGAUGACAUUCUUAGCUCUUUUGGCAGAAGCUACUGGUCCUACUAAGUAAAUAGCUUCUUAGAGGUUUUUAUUUAUUGUCACAAGGUGCUAGUCCAGAUACAGAAUAAACCAAGGAGUAGCUAUUCCAGAAGGCUAAAAAAUAAAGUAAUUAGCCUCUGAAUCUGUAAAAUCUCAGUCUUUCCACCAUUCUGAAAUUCCAAUUAGUCCAUCAGUCUCUGAAGACAUAGAAGCCCCUUCCAGGAGUUUUAUGUUCACAGCCAGACAGUUUCUUUUAAGGACUUUUCAUUCAUAAAUACACAUUCAUUUUGCCCCACAUUAAAAAAAAUACUGGUUGGGGGUGGUUUGGCAAAGCAUAAAUAGCAUAAAUAUUGAUCCAUCUUCUCAGGAUUUUUUUUUAUUAUUAUUCUGGAUUUUGUAGAAAUUAUUUAGAAGGGGAAUUAAAAAUGUCCAAAUCCAUAAGACAAAUAAGAAGGAAGAAAAUGAGUUUUCAUUAACAAAUUGACCUAGAUUGUUUCAGGGGCAAAGUCACCCCAAACAGCUAAAAACAAACAUGCACAUCACUGACCUACACCAAAGAGAAAAGAGAGGUAUGAAAACUAGCCUCUUUGUUGGUUUCACACGAGGGUAGCAGGUGGGGCUGAGUACAACUUCCAUGUAAACGAAAAGCUAAAACAGCAAUUUUCAGUUGUAUUCAUUUAUUUCAAAGCUUGACAAAAGCAAAACUAUCUAUUAUAUCAGUAAUGGUGAAUGACAGCAAAAAAGAAAGUCUCUAAACUAGAAUUCUAGCCCCCGACCCAAAAGUAUCUUUUGUGCUCUCUGUGGUUCAUAAAUUAUAUUGUUAUUGUAAGAUGAGUCUCAGUUAGAAACUUAGAAGUGUGUAAUCAGAUAUGGUUGUCAAAGGAAAGUUUAUAGUUUUUUUUAUAUUUUAAUUUUGGGGGUCUGCCCAAGCACCUUGAAAAAAAUAAAACCUGUAUUUGGUCUGAGAAACACCUUUAGAUACAUGCUGGAUAAUUUCUGUUGAAGCCAUUUUAUUAAGAUUCAUCAAAGAUAAGUCCAUUAGAAGAAGCAAGCAAAACUGGAAGAGCCUCAAAAAAUUGUGGUCUUUGGUUGGAAAUAAAAUUAAUUGAGUUUAUAGUAUCUCUUGUUAUUUGACAUAAAUUGUUGAUUGCUUUUAAUAUUUAAGUUGAACAAUAUUACAAAGAGAUCAAAGAUGAAGGCUUAUUACUUUUAAGGCUUUUUAAUUAAAAUAUUUUUUCUGAAGUAGGACAUUAAGUCAAAUAUGUCAAAACAUGGUAAAUAUGUGAGAAAAUGAGAAGAAAAACCAUUCUUGUGAUCAUGAGAGAGAUAAGUUAUUAUAUACAGAUAACCUUUAAGCUUUCAAUUGUAUUUUCUAGCUACUGUAGGUCAUAAUAUGCUCUCCACUAAACAAAAGCCUGAACAAAUUAAGCAACUCAUUAUGGUUUUCUGGCUUUGUUUUAAUUAUCGAAGUAUGUUAUUUUAAAAAAAGCAGGAAAAAUAAGAAAGACUAACAUACAUAUUUUUUCUCAUGUGUAUGGGUAUGAUGUAUGUGAAAAUGUAGCUCAUGUUAAAGUAUGUCCUUGUACAGUAACUCUACUGGAAGAUCCAGUUGCUAGGUUCUCAGGCAAGUGGUUUGAAGACACAGCCUGAUAUUCAGGCUUUUGGUAAAGACUGAGAAUUUCUUUCUGAAGGCUAGAGAAACGGGAUCUCUGAAGAUUGAGGGGAUGGAGGCGGAGUGUUUGGGGUUUGAACUAUGACGAUUUCCUUGAUAUUGACCUUGGUAUUUGGGGAGAAUGUAGUCAUGUACGAAUGAAAGAACUCUGGGUUUGCAGGUUGCUAACAUAUUUAAAGAGGUACUCAGAAUAAGUGACAUGGAGAGCUGCGGUGACAGGUGGGGUGUGGGUACCUGGGAAUCAUUUGGACACAGAACCAGAAGUAUCUUUCACAUGCAUGUCUUAAAUCCUGUCUGCCUUGAUUUUUAAGUUCCCGUGCAUUUGCCAGGUCACUGAAAUCCAUACAUACAUGAUCUUCCCCAGUCUUCCUCUAUAGGCACAACUUUGCAUCAGACAUUUGAUGGGAGAGGUCCAUCUUUGAAGGGAAGUUUUAUUUAAGUCUGUCCCUGGAUCCACAUCAUCCGUACGUCUGUCUACAGGGCAAAAAACUUCAUCUUUCAUGAGUGCAAUUUCAAACUUGGUGCCAACGAGAGACAUCUUCCCUGGACUCAAAUGCGCGAAGCCUGAACAGGACAUCUUGAGUGUUAGCUUCUCUGGGAUGGCUGCGGUGUGCAGCACAUUUUUGUUAAGGUGUUAUUCAAAGUUUCUGAUUAACAUAAGUUUUUCUUAAAAUUAUACAAAAACAUAAUACCAUGAUUAUGGAAAUAAAAAGCCACCCACAAGCUU